rfam:Microdochium bolleyi strain J235TASD1 unplaced genomic scaffold Micbo1qcscaffold_8, whole genome shotgun sequence.
GGCGCGAUGGCAGAGUGGUCUAAUGCGAUAGACUAGAAAUCUAUUUCCUUCGGGAGCGCAGGUAAGCCACACAACGUGCAGGCAUGCGUCUACAGGAUAUCAGGAACAUCCAGCUAACCCCGCCAAAGGUUCAAAUCCUGCUCGCGUCG